GCAGGGUUCCUACAUUCGUAAGACCGGGUUUGGAUGGUCAAAGGAAUUGGUGGGGAACGAAUCGACGAAUUCUAAUACAAUGAGCUAAUGACGGUACCGUAAGAAUAAGCACCGGUCUAACUACGUGCCAGUCAGACCGCGGUAAUACGUAGGGUGCAAGCGUUAAUCGGAAUUACUGGGCGUAAAGCGUGCGCAGGCGGUUUUGUAAGACAGUCGUGAAAUCCCCGGGCUCAACCUGGGAAUUGCGAUUGUGACUGCAAAGCUGGAGUGCGGCAGAGGGGGAUGGAAUUCCGCGUGUAGCAGUGAAAUGCGUAGAUAUGCGGAGGAACACCGAUGGCGAAGGCAAUCCCCUGGGCCUGCACUGACGCUCAUGCACGAAAGCGUGGGGAGCAAACAGGAUUAGAUACCCUGGUAGUCCACGCCCUAAACGAUGUCAACUGGUUGUUGGGUCUCUUCUGACUCAGUAACGAAGCUAACGCGUGAAGUUGACCGCCUGGGGAGUACGGCCGCAAGGUUGAAACUCAAA
rnacentral:rRNA from 1 species